CUUCCGGUUCAUCACGUUCAAGAUCAACGAGCAGACGCAGCAGGUGGUGGUGGACAGGCUGGGGCAGCCGGGCGACACCUACGACGACUUCACCGGCUCCAUGCCCGAGAGCGAGUGCCGCUACGCCGUCUUCGACUUCGACUUCACCACCGACGAGAACUGCCAGAAGAGCAAGAUCUUGUUCAUCUCCUGGUAAUAAUCGAAUCAAUGUCAGACCGUGUCCGAUUGCCUUUCUGAUCGUUCAAUUAUUAGUGACUCUCUUUCGCCGUAUCUCG
rnacentral:lncRNA from 1 species